rnacentral:rRNA from 1 species
UACGGAGGGUGCGAGCGUUAUCCGGAUUCACUGGGUUUAAAGGGUGCGUAGGUGGAUCGGUAAGUCCGUGGUGAAAUCCCCGAGCUUAACUCGGGAACUGCCGUGGAUACUAUCGAUCUUGAAUACUGUGGAGGUAAGCGGAAUAUGUCAUGUAGCGGUGAAAUGCUUAGAUAUGACAUAGAACACCGAUAGCGAAGGCAGCUUGCUACACAGUUAUUGACACUGAGGCACGAAAGCGUGGGGAGCAAACAGG